GUGAAUCAUCGAAUCUUUGAACGCAAAUUGCACUUUCUGGUAUUCCGGAAAGUAUGCCUGUUUGAGGGUAAGUUAAAUAAAAAGUGGUGUUGUUGCUGCUUUUCGUGGUGAGGCGGCGGAAUUGAGUUGUCUUACUUUCGGUUAAGUGACUUAAAAUUUUGCAUGAUUUUUGAACGUAUUUAAAUUUAUUAUGUACGUUUGAGAUAUCGAAUAAUUUAUUAGGUUCGGUCAUUCUCUUGAUUCGUACUUAUAAUUUUUAAGU
rnacentral:misc_RNA from 1 species